GAAAUGCGAUACUUGGUGUGAAUUGCAGAAUCCCGUGAACCAUCGAGUCUUUGAACGCAAGUUGCGCCCGAAGCCAUUAGGCCGAGGGCACGCCUGCCUGGGUGUCACACUGUGUGAC
rnacentral:misc_RNA from 1 species